CAUUGAGCUCUAAGUGACUUUGAUUUUUUAAUUUCCUUUUUGUUUUUAAUAUCAACAGUAAUAAAAAUAAUAUCUGAAUCUUGAACUUAGCACGCGCAUCAAUGCUAAAAUUGAUGUUUCCUAGGGUUGUUCGUGAAUCGGUUGUAUCUGACAAACCCAACCAAACCAUACCAAUCUAAAUUGACAAAUCAGGUUAAAUCACAAGAUCAGUCUCAAAGAGAGUCUCUUAUCAAGGACGAAGCUUCCAUGGAUUUCAAACCUUGCCGUUGAUGCCAUAAACUGCCUCAAACGCCACAAACCUCAGAGAGUCGUGCCAAGUUGCACCAAGUUUCACGGGAUAGAAAAUUUUGGAGUCUGAAAGCAAAUGGUUAUAAACCGAUUAGAGUGUUUGAAUGCCUUUUGCUUCUGUCUGGUGUCCCAGUCUACUGCAUAUUCGCGAGUGUCUCUUGCAGGCCAAUAGUGUUUCAGGGGCUGUGGAGUUCUUAUGGAGAAGUCAUGGUAGUAUGGUAUGGUUUUACAAGCACUAUCACAGAAUUGCUUGUAAACAACUUCUGUUUUAUUAUAGCAUAGUCCUGGCCAAUAUAGUACGGAAGUAGUCACGGUACCUUCUCCUUUAUCAUGUGAUAAGAGGAGCGUAUGUGUGACAGCUUCUUGAAAACAGUGCAUUGGAUUCAUUUUGUUAUUAUAGGUUUUUACUCCACUUCAAUGACUCUGCUGCUUUGAGAGGCAACAGUGAUGUUUUUGAAUUCUUUUUCUUUUCUGAAUUUGUUAAGAUGAAGUUCCCCAUAAAGGAGAGGCUUAAACAAUUUCACUGUAAGUUUAACACGAUUUUCUUACAGACAGAAUAAGAAAAUGUGUCAAAACUGUCCAAUUCAGAUGUAUAUAAUAUAUGCUUGUUGAUCUAA